GGCGGAACUGACGUUGGACUCGCGCCUCCCGGGUGCCAGAGUUCGUGUAGACUCCGGUGCUGGAGCUGUAUGCUGCUGCUGCUCUCCCAGCUUCCCAGGAAUCUCUGAGGACAAAUGGGAAUUCUCACUGAUUUCUAGGACUACCCUGGGGCAGUUCCCUGGAUUUACCAGGAUUAAGUUGUCAUUUUUAAAAUGGGGCCAUGACUGUUUACCUCACAGGAUCAUUGUGAUAACAGAGGCAGUGUACACAAGGAGGAAUGGUGGCACCUAGUAGGUGCAUAAUCAAUAAAGUCAGUUACUCCUCCCCAA